UAAAGGUCACUCUUGACCAAAAAAAAAACUCAGUUCACUCACAAGAUCUCUUCCAUCUUCCACCGCUAUCUCUUUUCCAAUUUGGAACCGACGAAAGAGAUAUGAGAAUCGAUCCAAUCUUUGACUAAUCGCCGAAGCCAUGUACUGGCGGUUAGACCGAUACCACUGUUCAUCGGCGAUCUGAAUACAUAGAUCCGGUCCGAUGGAUCGCCUCGGGGAGAGGAGAAGAAAGAGUGGAAGAUGGCUACAACAGACGAGGUCGCAGGAUCGGCUCCAAAGAUAGUGUGGAACGAAGCGAAGCAGAGGUUCGAGUCAGAGGACCAGAAAGCCUACAUAGACUACGUUCUCAGAGAAAAGGGGAAAGUGAUGGACUUGGUGUGACCUAUGUCCCAUCUUCCAAGAGAGGCUUGAGCUUGGCCUCCCAUCUCUGCGUUGCCGCCUUCAACCACGCCAAAGCCAACUCCAUGUCCGUCAUCCCCACCUGUUCUUACGUCUCUGAAGGGUAUAGAAGAAGAAUCGAAGCUGGCAAGAAAAUCAGCAACAUACCUAUUGACAUGAUCUAUACAUCUGGACUGAUGCAUGCACAGAUGACUGCCAUGCCUGCCAGGACAUAGCACCUUUGUAAGAAGGGGUUGAUGUUAAAUGUGAAGAGAUAAUUGAAGCAACCUCAACUGGCUCCAGUUCAAUGAUUUCCAAGAUUGUUCAAAUGAACAUCACUGACAGAUUCAUUGACAGAUAUGAAAUUAUAUAAAAGUUGCUGGAGGAGAGGUAGCAGAUGCAGCUAUGGGGAGGAACAUGAAGAGAUUUAUGUUUUUUUAUGUUGUAUUUUAUUUGAAGUUGUAUAUGAAUUGUACAGUAUAUUUUAGAAUUAUACAGUACAUUUUGGUGGGCCAAAUUGUUAA